rnacentral:ncRNA from 1 species
GUUUCAGGGCGAGGUGCAAUUCCUCACUGGCGGUAAAGUCCGCGAGCCUUCGGGUUGAACCGGUGAAACUCCGGUACCAACGGUUAUAGUCCGGAUGGAAGAAAC